rnacentral:rRNA from 1 species
AUGAACGCUGGCGGCGUGCCUAAGAUAUGCAAGUCGAGCGGUAAGGUUCUCACUCCGUACUUAAAGUUUUGAGUAUGGUGUGAGAAUACACGAGCGGCGGACGGCUGAGUAACGCGUAGGAAUGUACCCCAAAGUGAGGAAUAAGCACCGGAAACGGUGUCUAAUGCCGCAUGAUCUCUUCGGAGGAAAGCCUUCGGGCGCUAUGGGAGCGGCCUGCGUACGAUUAGCUUGUUGGUGAGGUAAAGGCUCACCAAGGCGAUGAUCGUUAGCUGGUCUGAGAGGAUGACCAGCCAGACUGGAACUGAGAACGGUCCAGACCCCUACGGGGGGCAGCAAUUAGGAAUCUUUCACAAUGGGGGCAACCCUGAUGGAGCAACGCCGCGUGCAGGAGGAAGGCCUUCGGGUUGUAAACUGCUUUUAUCUGUGAAGAUUAUGACGGUAGCAGAUGAAUAAGGACCGGCUAACUCCGU